GACCUGCGGAGGAUCAUUAUCGUAGGGCUUCGGCCCUGUCGAGAUAGAACCCUUGCCUUUUUGAGUACCUUUCGUUUCCUCGGCAGGCUCGCCUGCCAAUGGGGACCACAAAAAACACUUUGCAGUACCUGUAACAGUCUGAACAAACAAAACAAAAAUUAAAACUUUCAACAACGGAUCUCUUGGUUCUGGCAUCGAUGAAGAACGCAGCGAAAUGCGAUAAGUAGUGUGAAUUGCAGAAUUCAGUGAAUCAUCGAAUCUUUGAACGCACAUUGCGCCCUUUGGUAUUCCAUGGGGCAUGCCUGUUCGAGCGUCAUUUGUACCUUCAAGCUCUGCUUGGUGUUGGGUGUUUGUCUCGCCUCUGCGCGUAGACUCGCCUCAAAACAAUUGGCAGCCGGCGUAUUGAUUUCGGAGCGCAGUACAUCUCGCGCUUUGCACUCAAAACGACGACGUCCAAAAGUACAUUUUUACACUCUUGACCUCGGAUCAGGUAGGGAUACCCGCUGAACUUAAGCAUAUCAAUAAGCGGAGGA
rnacentral:rRNA from 1 species